rnacentral:ncRNA from 1 species
UCCCUGCCUACGCCGACGGGCGGAAAAGCCGGAGACCUUCACCGGCCUGGCAGGGGCACCCCUAUGAAGG